rnacentral:rRNA from 1 species
UACGUAGGUGGCAAGCGUUGUCCGGAAUUACUGGGCGUAAAGGAUGCGUAGGCGGAUAUUUAAGUCAGAUGUGAAAUCCCCGGGCUUAACUUGGGGGCUGCAUUUGAAACUGGGUAUCUAGAGUGCAGGAGAGGUAAGUGGAAUUCCUAGUGUAGCGGUGAAAUGCGUAGAGAUUAGGAAGAACACCAGUGGCGAAGGCGACUUACUGGACUGUAACUGACGCUGAGGCAUGAAAGCGUGGGGAGCAAACAGG